UACAGAGGCCCCAAGCAUUAUCCGGAAUCACUGGGCGUAAAGGGUGUGUAGGCGGUCGUAUUAGUCUUUUGUGAAAGCUCUCGGACUCAAUCCGGGAAACGCGGGAGAAACGGUACGACUGAGAGGACGCGAGAGGUAAGAGGAACUCAUGGUGUAGGGGUGAAAUCCGUUGAUAUCAUGGGGAACACCAAAUGCGAAGGCAUCUUACUGGCGCGCUCCUGACGCUGAAACACGAAAGCGUGGGAAUCGAACGGG
rnacentral:rRNA from 1 species